UUCUGGGAAAGCCGGCCUUGGCCAAUCAGGAGGCGCGGGCGAGCGGCGCGAGAAGCGGCGGCCGCGUUCUUCAGCCGGGACCUGAGCGGCGACACGGCUGCAGCGCCAGGAUUUGCAUCUCCAAUGGAUACUGAGGGGUUUGAUGAGCUCCUUCAGCAAGCUGAACAGCUUGCCGCUGAGACCGAGGGCAUCUCAGAGCUUCCCCAUGUGGAACGGAACCUCCAGGAGAUCCAGCAGGCGGGUGAGCGCCUGUGUUCCCGUACCCUCACUCGCACAUCCCAGGAGACAGCAGAUGUCAAGGCGUCAGUUCUCCUUGGGUCUCGGGGGCUUGAUAUAUCUCACAUCUCCCAGCGAUUGGAGAGUCUGAGUGCAGCCACCACCUUUGAACCUCUUGAGCCUGUGAAGGACACAGACAUUCAGGGCUUCCUCAAGAAUGAAAAGGAUAAUGCCCUGCUGUCUGCCAUUGAAGAGUCCCGGAAGAGGACCUUUGGCAUGGCUGAGGAGUACCAUCGAGAGUCAAUGCUGGUCGAGUGGGAGCAAGUGAAACAGCGGAUUCUCCACACACUACUGGCAUCCGGAGAAGAUGCCCUUGACUUUACUCAAGAAAGCGAGCCAAGUUACAUCAGUGAUGUGGGACCCCCUGGUCGAAGCUCUCUGGACAACAUCGAGAUGGCUUAUGCCCGGCAGAUUUAUAUCUAUAAUGAGAAGAUUGUAAACGGACACCUGCAGCCUAACCUUGUGGACCUCUGUGCUUCCGUCGCAGAGCUGGAUGAUAAGAACAUCUCUGACAUGUGGACCAUGGUGAAACAAAUGACAGACGUGUUGUUGGCGCCGGCGACUGACGCCCUGAAGAGUCGCAACAGCGUGGAAGUGCGCAUGGAGUUUGUCAGGCAGGCCUUGGGAUACCUGGAACAGAGUUAUAAGAAUUAUACCCUUGUGACUGUCUUUGGAAACUUGCAUCAGGCCCAGUUGGGCGGGGUGCCUGGGACUUACCAGCUGGUACGAAGUUUCCUGAACAUUAAACUUCCGGCUCCCUUGCCCGGACUUCAGGAUGGAGAGGUGGAAGGCCAUCCUGUAUGGGCAUUAAUUUAUUACUGCAUGCGCUGUGGAGACCUGCUUGCCGCUUCACAGGUGGUUAACCGAGCCCAGCACCAGCUGGGAGAGUUUAAAACCUGGUUCCAGGAGUACAUGAACAGCAAGGACAGAAGGUUGUCCCCAGCAACGGAGAACAAGCUCCGACUGCAUUAUCGCAGGGCCCUCAGGAACAACACAGACCCCUACAAACGGGCUGUGUACUGUAUCAUUGGCAGAUGCGAUGUCACCGACAACCAAAGUGAGGUGGCCGACAAAACCGAGGACUACCUGUGGCUAAAGUUGAACCAGGUGUGUUUCGAUGAUGACGGCACCAGCUCCCCACAAGACAGACUGACGCUGUCUCAGUUCCAGAAACAGCUGUUGGAAGACUACGGCGAGUCCCACUUCACGGUGAACCAGCAGCCCUUCCUCUACUUCCAAGUACUGUUCCUGACGGCGCAGUUCGAAGCUGCCAUUGCCUUUCUCUUCCGCAUGGAGCGGCUGCGCUGCCAUGCCGUCCACGUGGCGCUGGUGCUCUUUGAGCUGAAGCUGCUUUUAAAAUCCUCAGGACAGAGCGCUCAGCUCCUCAGCCAUGAGCCUGGCGACCCUCCCUGCACGCGGCGGCUGAACUUUGUGCGGCUACUCAUGCUCUACACCCGGAAGUUUGAGUCCACGGACCCAAGGGAGGCCCUCCAGUACUUUUACUUCCUCAGGGACGAAAAAGAUAGUCAAGGAGAAAACAUGUUUCUGCGUUGUGUGAGCGAGCUGGUGAUAGAAAGUCGAGAGUUCGAUAUGAUUCUUGGGAAACUAGAGAAUGAUGGAAGUAGAAAGCCUGGAGUCAUAGAUAAGUUUACUAGUGACACAAAACCUAUUAUCAACAAAGUUGCCUCCGUGGCAGAAAAUAAAGGACUGUUUGAAGAAGCAGCCAAGCUUUAUGACCUUGCCAAGAAUGCAGACAAGGUGCUGGAGCUGAUGAACAAACUGCUCAGCCCUGUCGUCCCCCAGAUCAGCGCACCACAGUCCAACAAGGAGAGGCUGAAGAACAUGGCGCUCUCCAUCGCGGAACGGUAUAGGGCUCAGGGAAUCAGUGCAAAUAAAUUUGUGGACUCCACGUUCUAUCUUCUGUUGGACUUGAUCACAUUCUUUGACGAGUAUCACAGUGGGCAUAUUGACAGAGCCUUUGAUAUAAUUGAUCGCUUGAAGCUGGUACCCCUGAAUCAGGAAAGUGUGGAAGAAAGAGUGGCUGCCUUCAGAAAUUUCAGUGACGAGAUCAGGCACAACCUCUCAGAAGUGCUUCUCGCCACCAUGAACAUCUUGUUCACACAGUUUAAGAGGCUCAAGGGGACGAGUCCAUCCUCAGCAUCCAGGCCCCAGCGAGUCAUCGAGGACCGUGACUCUGUUUCCACUUAAUGCUUGAUGAGACUCUCAGUACAGUGUAUAACAGCCACACUUGAUUUUGGCAAUCAAGAAACUAGAGACUUGAAAAUCUGUCUUCUGCCUCCAAGGAUGUCUGUGGGCUCCCUCUGCUCUGACCCCCGCAGGCACUGUCGUUGACAGAACUCCUGCCUCCAACUCCGCAGUCAAGCCCGGGCCCUGAUUACCUUUGCUGGGAUGAUACCAUACCGGACAUCUGGGGACACUAACGCGAGGCUGGUGCAGAUGGAGGUCCUCAUGAACUAAGUGUGAUGCUCUGAGGGGCUG